rnacentral:rRNA from 1 species
ACGCUCGACACCUACGGGAGGCAGCAGUGGGGAAUAUUGCACAAUGGGGGAAACCCUGAUGCAGCGACGCCGCGUGAGUGAAGAAGUAAUUCGUUAUGUAAAGCUCUAUCAGCAGGGAAGAAAGUGACGGUACCUGAGUAAGAAGCCCCGGCUAACUACGUACCAGCAGCCGCGGUAAUCUGAGCGGGCUGGCAAGGC